UUCGGUCAUAUCACUUUGAAACACCUGUUCCCGUACGAUCAGCGAAGUUAAGCAACGUUGAAACUGGUCAGUACCAAGAUGGGUGACUGCUUGGAAAUAUCAGGUGCUGUAAU